AUUGAACGCUGGCGGCAGGCCUAACACAUGCAAGUCGAACGGUAACAGGAAGAAGCUUGCUUCUUUGCUGACGAGUGGCGGACGGGUGAGUAAUGUCUGGGAAACUGCCUGAUGGAGGGGGAUAACUACUGGAAACGGUAGCUAAUACCGCAUAACGUCGCAAGACCAAAAAGGGGGACCUUCGGGCCUCUUGCCAUCGGAUGUGCCCAGAUGGGAUUAGCUAGUAGGUGGGGUAACGGCUCACCUAGGCGACGAUCCCUAGCUGGUCUGAGAGGAUGACCAGCCACACUGGAACUGAGACACGGUCCAGACUCCUACGGGAGGCAGCAGUGGGGAAUAUUGCACAAUGGGCGCAAGCCUGAUGCAGCCAUGCCGCGUGUAUGAAGAAGGCCUUCGGGUUGUAAAGUACUUUCAGCGGGGAGGAAGGGAGUAAAGUUAAUACCUUUGCUCAUUGACGUUACCCGCAGAAGAAGCACCGGCUAACUCCGUGCCAGCAGCCGCGGUAAUACGGAGGGUGCAAGCGUUAAUCGGAAUUACUGGGCGUAAAGCGCACGCAGGCGGUUUGUUAAGUCAGAUGUGAAAUCCCCGGGCUCAACCUGGGAACUGCAUCUGAUACUGGCAAGCUUGAGUCUCGUAGAGGGGGGUAGAAUUCCAGGUGUAGCGGUGAAAUGCGUAGAGAU
rnacentral:rRNA from 1 species